GUGGUUAAAACGUCACCCUUAUUAACUACGUGGCCAAUGGGCUCUCUCCCUACCACAGUAUAUAAGUGGUUGUUUAGGCCUCCCAGAAGGCGUCAUGGUCAAAAACCCGCCCCUUCCUUUCAUUGCUAUGGACUACAGAGUGUGACGUUGGGCUACCGAGACUCUAUGCAGGUGUGAUGUGCUGCUCACAAUCAGUGUGGUGUGCCGUCAAGGCUCCCAGCUGUGUAGCAUGGUAGUUUAAUGUAGCUCCAGUCGGAGCACCAGCUGUUGCCAUCACAACUAUUGAAGACGCUAUCAUGAUUUUCGUAUGUGCCAUCAUGAGUAUCAUGUCAUCGGAUCACGGUAGGAGCUGAGUGCUUCCUGAGGCUGGGGGGAGUUCUUUGCUGCACCUUAAGCUUUACUUAAUUAAGGGUCGUUAUUAUUGCUGUGUUUAUUUGCAGUGAAUUUUUGUGGGUCUGAUUCUGAUUAGUGGGGUGCUUUUCCCUUUUGUAUAGCUGGUGCUGUCGUACUAGCCUGCCCUUCAUACAGGAAGCCUCAGUCCUACUAUGAUUAUUGUUAACUUCCUCUUGUGACUGUUUUAUCUGACCAAUGCCUGACUGUGUUGGUUGCUUCUUGUAAAAUAAUUCUUGGCCAGUCUUUUUAACUUCAAAAUAAAAUUUAUUUUUGUAUGGAAACCCAUGCCUCUCACCUGUUCUAAGUGGAACGUACUUGCGUGUCUUUAUUUGGGUUAUUUUCCCCGUUUUCUUGAGGUGGUGUAGUUGGUACAAAACGAAACAAAUGAGCCGCAUAGCUGCACGUGCCGUAGUUGUUGCUACGAAACGGGCCACAUUGCUACCCGUGGUGUAGUCGGCAGGAUCUCCAUAGUAUAUUUACGAAAAAAGAGCCACAUUGCUACACGUGGCGUCGUUGGCAGGCUUUACGAGGAUACGUGCCACAUUGCUAAACGUGGCGUAGUUGGCAGGAUUUACAAGGAUACGCGCCACAUUGCUACAUUGUAAUGAAUUGUUCAAAGGUAAUACCGAAAAUUUACAUGUAUUCUAUCAUGCUAUUUUAAAUGUAAAGAAUGUGGCAGCAAGAGAAUUAUACUUAAUCAGUUGUAAUAAAAGAAUAACUCGAUUGCUACUGCAUUCCUGACAAUGACAUUCAAUUUGUUUCUAUCCAAAACCAUUCAAUGACAGUAGCACAGUUUGGCACGUCCUCGGGUGCUUAUUUAAGUAUUAAUUAAUUUCUCCUCUCUUUCUCAACUCCUAAAAGUGUAUGCCACAUUACCUGUCUCCACAUCAACAACUGAACAGUAAUUUUCUGGAAUGGCCAUUAAAACUUGUGAAACCAGACUUCGAAGUCAAUGUAAUGAAGGAAGGCUCUCUGACCUACUGUUACCCUCAGUGGAGUGUGACAUUCCAGUUAACCUUGAAGUCAUUAAAAUAUUUAAAAACACAACAAACAGAUGAGUACUGCUUUAAAUACAGAUAAAUUAUUUAAUAAAUAAUUACAUGUUCAAAUACUGUAAAAUAAAUACAAAAACGUUUGGUUAUGUACAUUAAAGUAAUUUUUUUAAUUUUAUUUUUUUUUUUUGUGCCCUUUUUAGUCCUUCCGCCCCAGCGGACGUCUGUGCACGCCACUGCAUGACAUUUAUGUUGUGGACUCAAAUGCAGUAGUUAUAAGAAAAACAUCCCCACAAAUAACAACAUUGGUAUCACUGAGUUGUGCUUUGUAUCUGAUUGUACCAGCUCACUUAAUUUGCAUCCCAUUAGGACAAACAUAUAAUGUCAAGAGUAGUAAAAUUUGUUGCAUUUUCUAUAUUGAAAUGUUAAAAGUAAGAAAAAAUCUAAAGUUUACACCAUUAUUUCUGAAUUUACUAUAGAUAUUCUCCAGUCACUAGCACUUCCACCCUAUCCAUAGAGAAAAUUUUGGACUUAAUAUGGCAACGAGGAGGCUGCUUAUCUUACAUUUUGCUUUGGAAAUUGAAAAUAAAGGGAGUUUCCACAACUGGACAGCAUUUAGGCUUCAGUUAACAUUCACAAUUAAAACUUGGCAGUGAUGCCAGACAUCUAGUUCAGCCAUGAAACUCUAACCUCAUGCUGAUUGGCUCCCUCAAUGCCCAUGCAUCAGCCUAUCAGCCAUGCUUCUUUGCCUAUGUAACCCUUUAUGAUCCCGACUAACUCGCUGGCUACUGCCUGCACACACUACAAAAUUUCCGCAUCCUAGGCCAGUAAAACACUGACAAUUGUAAUCAAUUGUCAUUUUUUCCAAAGAAAAAACAUCAAUUCCACAUGAUUCAGCUAAUUAAACAUUUUCCAGGUGGUGCUGGGUUUUAUUAGGAGUGUGCCCUUUUUUCACAUUUGCCCAAGCAGCAUGGAGCCCUAUUGCCUUAUAGCGAUCCUGUAGUCACCAACUGAUUAUCCGUUCUACUGCCUUUCGCAAAAAAAAAAUUAAAAACUUGGCACACACUCACCCCAACAUGCACUCACCCUAUGAGCCGUACACUUAUAUAGUCUAAAUUGAUGACACCCGGGGUACAUAUAGACCCUACGUCACAGUUAAAUAAGUUCUGGGCUCACAUAUUCAGCUAGGCCAUUGAUUAAUAUUCUUCUGGGUUAGCAGUGGUUUUUGCCUCUCCAAACUUCCAUAGAUGCAAUUUUUGCCCAGUGUCUUUCGAUAGUGGAGUCAUGAACCUUUAUUGAUGCAAGAGAGGCCUGUAGGUCAUUUAACUUUGUCCUUGGCUCUUUUGUGACUUGCUAGAUGAGGCGUUGCUGUGCUCUUGGAGGAAUUGUGGAUGGUCGGCCAUUUCUAGGAAGGUUCCCUACUGUGCCAAGUUUUUUCCAUUUGGAGAUAAUGACUCACACUGUGGUCCUUUGGGGUCCCAGAGCCUAUGAAAUAGCUUUGUAGCCCUUCCCAGACUGAUAUAUUUCCAUCACUUUCUUCCUCAACAUUUCAGGAAUUUCUUUAAAUUUUGGCAUAGUGUGUUACUGUGCAAGACCUUUUAACCAACUCCAUGCUGUUGAAAUAGUUCUAUUUAAGUGUUGAUUUCAGUACAGCCCUGUAUUUCAGUACAGCCCGUCUUCUUGGUUUGGCGGGGGGUUUCUCUUUCUGUACCCUUUGCAGCAGCAGCAUGCUUCUCUUCUUUUCUAUGUCUGUGCAUGUCUAUCAGAGCUAGUAUUCAUACUCGCUCCUCAGAAGCAGCAUAACAGAUCUAGUCCGCCAAGACCAAACCUAUUUACAAUCUCACAAUGUAAUUUUGAAAGUUCUUGUGACUGAAAUAGGGUUAGGAUAGACUGGGGCAUGUUGUCACAUGUUUUGCUCUUUCUUUCUUUGGAAUGCUAUAUUGCAGUGGAAUACAUGUCAUACCAAAUGAAAGAAUGAAGUCUCAGGCACAUAUUUUGUAUUAUUAUAUCUUUAUAUAUUUUCAGUAUGGCAUUAUAGACAGUUAAGUACAGAAUUUGCAUCAGAUCUCCAUCAGUGGGUAAGUUGUCAAGUUAUUAUUUUUAACACAGAUUUUUCUUCAAUUUCAAAUUCCAAACCAAAUACAUGUUAAUUAGAAAAAAGACAAUGGAAGAGCGACAAUGUUGAUUUAAGUAUAGGAGGCAUAUGAUCAACAGUGGUUUGCUCCAGUAGCCCAACCUAAACACUGUCUUAUUUAUUGCCAAAAUAAAACCACAUUUCUACAAAUAAAGAAAUAUACUUUUAUUUACUACACAGCAAACAUGCAUCCCAUAUUGGCUCAUCAUGGGCAGCCCAUAUCAGGCCACUGGGGAUUUGUACAUUGACGUGACAUUGGUCCCACAGCAUUGGCCCAAUGUAGGCAGCCCACAUUAUUCCAGUCAGGGUGUGCACUUUGGUGGGCUGCCCACAUUGGGCCAGUGCUGCGGGGCCGAUGUUGCACCUAUGUGCUGAUUCUAAAAUAUAUAGAAAAACAUAAACAUAAGAGAAAAUGUGUGGUCCAAAAAAUUUCACACUGAUUAUAAAAUUGAUUAUAGUACCUAAGCGAAUUUUUGGUAUUCUAUGAUCGGCCACGCCUACUUCAAUCAAAAGGUGCAAGCUAUUUGUUGGUACCUGGAAUAGCGAAGGCUACAGCAGGGGGAAGAGCUUUCUCUUACAAAGCCCCACAGUUAUGAAACUGCAUUCUCUGGGGCUUUAACCAAAACAUCUGAGGCUGGACACACACACACACAUUCACAACCAUUUUGCUCAUUGAUUUAUUUGCCUUGCCACUGGCUGGACUGGCUGUGUUUCUCUGGAAAACAACAACAACAAAUGGAUCUAACUAUAUAUGGCUGUAUGCUCUGCCUGUUUAAAAUUCAUAUUUUGGGCAUUACAGUAAUUAUAAUGUCGUUCAUUUACUCAAACCAUGAUAAUUAUUUUAUACUGUCAAGUAUUGUUGUCAAUGUCAAUAAUCUUAAUAAGAUUUAACUGCAUCAUUACACAAGUAAAUAUUAACAGCAACUAACACACACCAGGACACAAAAAAGCCAAACUCAAGCACUUGUGCAGUAAAGGCACUGUUAGAGUAUUUUAUAAUUAGUUAUAGUUUUAAAAUAAUCCUAAUUUAUAAU